rnacentral:rRNA from 1 species
GAUGAACGCUGGCGGCGUGCCUAAUACAUGCAAGUCGAGCGAACAGAUAAGGAGCUUGCUCCUUUGACGUUAGCGGCGGACGGGUGAGUAACACGUGGGUAACCUACCUAUAAGACUGGAAUAACUCCGGGAAACCGGGGCUAAUGCCGGAUAACAUUUAGAACCGCAUGGUUCUAAAGUGAAAGAUGGUUUUACUAUCACUUAUAGAUGGACCCGCGCCGUAUUAGCUAGUUGGUAAGGUAACGGCUUACCAAGGCAACGAUACGUAGCCGACCUGAGAGGGUGAUCGGCCACACGGGAACUGAGACACGGUCCAGACUCCUACGGGAGGCAGCAGUAGGGAAUCUUCCGCAAUGGGCGAAAGCCUGACGGAGCAACGCCGCGUGAGUGAUGAAGGUCUUCGGAGCGUAAAACUCUGUUAUUAGGGAAGAACAAAUGUGUAAGUAACUGUGCACGUCUUGACGGUACCUAAUCAGAAAGCCACGGCUAACUACGUG